ACCCUUACGGUGUUACAGUUUUCAUUAAGCAUUCUAUGGUUUGUUUUAACAGGUUCAUCAUGUUUGAAAUGGGUUUGUCUUUGUUUUUUAAGAAUUUGUUGUUGAAGGGUGUGAUUUGCAUCAAGUUAGUAGUGUAAAUUAUACUUUAAGAUCUAAGAGAUAUAGUGAAUAUCAUAGAGCUUGAUCUAUUGCUACGCUUCAGUUUAAUGGGCUGAGUUUGUUUGAGGAAGAUGAUGAACUUGUUGGGGAUGACA
rnacentral:lncRNA from 1 species